UACGUAGGGGGCUAGCGUUGUCCGGAAUCAUUGGGCGUAAAGCGCGUGUAGGCGGCUUGGUAAGUCCGUUCUGAAAGCCCGGGGCUCAACCCCGGGAGGCGGAUGGAUACUGUCAAGCUCGAGUCCGGAAGAGGCAAGUGGAAUUCCCGGUGUAGCGGUGAAAUGCGCAGAUAUCGGGAGGAACACCAAUGGCGAAGGCAGCUUGCUGGGACGGUACUGACGCUGAGACGCAAAAGCGUGGGGAGCAAACAGG
rnacentral:rRNA from 1 species